GACGAACGCUGGCGGCGUGCCUAAUACAUGCAAGUCGAACGCACUCUCGUUUAGAUUGAAGGAGCUUGCUCCUGAUUGAUAAACAUUUGAGUGAGUGGCGGACGGGUGAGUAACACGUGGGUAACCUGCCCUAAAGUGGGGGAUAACAUUUGGAAACAGAUGCUAAUACCGCAUAAAACCUAACACCGCAUGGUGUAGGGUUGAAAGAUGGUUUCGGCUAUCACUUUAGGAUGGACCCGCGGUGCAUUAGUUAGUUGGUGAGGUAAAGGCUCACCAAGACCGUGAUGCAUAGCCGACCUGAGAGGGUAAUCGGCCACACUGGGACUGAGACACGGCCCAGACUCCUACGGGAGGCAGCAGUAGGGAAUCUUCCACAAUGGACGAAAGUCUGAUGGAGCAACGCCGCGUGAGUGAAGAAGGUUUCGGAUCGUAAAACUCUGUUGUUGGAGAAGAAUGUAUCUGAUAGUAACUGAUCAGGUAGUGACGGUA
rnacentral:rRNA from 1 species